rnacentral:rRNA from 1 species
GAUCAAGCCAAGAAGGGCACACGGUGGAUGCCUUGGCGUCGAGAGGCGAUGAAGGACGUGGGAACCUGCGAUAAGCCCAGGGGAGUUGGUAACCGAGCUGUGAUCCUGGGAUUUCCGAAUGGGGCAACCCACCCGAAAGGGUACUGCACUCUGAAUGCAUAGGGGUGCAGAGCGAACCGGGGGAACUGAAACAUCUCAGUACCCCGAGGAAAGGAAAGCAACAGCGACUCCGUGAGUAGCGGCGAGCGAAAGCGGAUCAACCGGUGGAACAGCGAAGCGUUUGAAUGACGCGCCGCAGAAGGUGAAAGCCCUGUAGCGGGAAGCCGGUAAGGCCUAGAGUAGGUUCGGGCUCGGGAAACCCGGACUGAACAUGGGGGGUCCACCCUCCAAGCCUAAGUACUCCUCGACGACCGAUAGUGAACCAGUAAGGCGACUGAAAGGUGAAAAGAUCCGCGACGAGCGGAGUGAAAGAGUACCUGAAACCGUGUGCUUACAAGCGGUCGGAGCCCUGCGGGGUGACGGCGUACUUUUUGCAUAAUGGACCCGAGAGUUAGUCUUUGCGGCGAGCCUAAGGCCUACCGGGCCGGAGGCGAAGCGAAAGCGAGUCUGAAUAGGGCGCGAAGUCGCAGGGGCUAGACGCGAAACCUUUGUGAUCUACCCAUGGGCAGAGUGAAGGGCGGGUAAAACCGCCUGGAGGCUCGAAGCCGUGACCGUUGAAAAGGUCUGGCAUGACCUGUGGGGAGGAGUAAAAGUCUCAUCAAACUGGGAGAUAGCUCGUUCUCGCCGAAAUAACUUUAGGGUUAGCCUCAGGAAGCAAAUAUCGGGGGUAGAGCGACUGGAUGGGGAGUGGGGCCGCAAGGCUACCCUCCCCAACCAAACUCCGAAUACCGAUAUCCAAGUCCUGGGAGAUAGUCCGGGAGUGACAAUAUCCUCGGUCAAAAGGGGAACAACCCAGAUCGCCAGCUAAGGUCCCAUAUCUCAGCUCAGUUCGAAAGGAAGUCAGACUGCAAUGACAGCCAGGAUGUUGGCUUAGAAGCAGCCAUCAUUUAAAGAGUGCGUAAUAGCUCACUGGUCGAGGAGUCUGGCGCCGAUAAUGAUCGGGAAUAAGCUGAGAGCCGAAGCUGCGGGCACGUAAGUGCGGUAGGCGAGCGUUCCUGUCGGCAUUGAAGGGGUUCGGGAACGGAUCCUGGAGCGUCAGGAAGUGAAUAUUCGGGUUUGAGUAACGAUAUAGAGGGUGAGAAUCCCUCUCGCCGUAAGCGCAAGGUUUCCUGGGGAAGGUAAAUCCUCCCAGGGUUAGGCGGGACCUAAGGCGAGGCCCAAGGGCGUAGUCGAUGGAUAGCCGGUCAAUAUUCCGGCCCCUCCGCAGAGAUCAAUCCAACGUUCGAAUUCCUUAGCUCGAUGGGACUGUCAGACAUGUCCAGGCCGUAUGGCCGAAGUCGAGGGCGGGGGUUCCUAGAAAAGCGUUGGUGGCAAAGUGGAGCCCGUACCAAAACCGACACAGGUGCGCGAGGCGAAUAGCCUCAGGCGCUCGAGAUAACGGUCGUGAAGGAACUCAGCAAAUUGACCCCGUAACUUCGGGAUAAGGGGGCCCUCGCUCUAUCGCAAGAUCGGGCAGGGCGCAGAGAAAAGGUUCUGGGAACUGUUUAUCAAAAACACAGCUCUGUGCCAACACGCAAGUGGAUGUAUACAGAGUGACGCUUGCCCAAUGCCGGAAUGUCACGGAAGCGGGUCAGGGAAACCGAAGCUCGCAACCCAAGCACCGGUCAAUGGCGGCCGUAACUAUGACGGUCCUAAGGUAGCGAAGUUCCUUGUCGGGUAAGUUCCGACGCGCAUGAAUAGCGUAAUCACUGGAACACUGUCUCCACGACCGACUCGGUGAAAUAGAAGUGGCGGUGAAGAUACCGCCUACCCGCAGCAAGACGGAAAGACCCCGUGGACCUUUACUGCAGGCUUUUAUUGGUCACGAGCGUUCGGUGCGUAGGAUAGGUGGGAGGCUUUGAAGUUCGGGUUUCGGCUCGAAUGGAGCCAACGGUGAAAUACCACCCUUCGUUCGUUUGUGGCCUAACCUCGAUUCCCGUGAAUCCGGGCGAGGGACAGUGAGUGUCGGGCAGUUUGACUGGGGCGGUCUCCUCCAAAAAGGUAACGGAGGAGCGCAAAGGUCGGUUCAGCGCGGAUGGAAACCGCGUGUUGAGUGUAAAGGCACAAACCGGCUUUACUGUGAGACUGACAGGUCGAACAGUUGCGAAAGCAGGCCUUAGUGAUCCUGCGAUCCCGUGUGGAAGGGUCGUAGCUCAUCGGAUAAAAGGUACCCCGGGGAUAACAGGCUUAUCGCGCCCGAGCGUCCAUAGCGGCGGCGCGGUUUGGCACCUCGAUGUCGGCUCAUCACAUCCUGGGACUGAAGGCGGCCCCAAGGGUUCGGCUGUUCGCCGAUUAAAGUGGUACGCGAGCUGGGUUCAGACCGGCGUGAGCCAGGUCGGUCCCUAUCUGCUGUGGGCGUUCCAGGCUUGAGAGGAGUCAACCCUAGUACGAGAGGACUGGGUUGGACCCACCCCUGGUGAUCCAGUUGCGCCGCUUGGCGCACCGCUGGGUAGCUACGUGGGGCAGGGAUAAACGCUGAAAGCAUCUAAGCGUGAAGCCCCCCUCAAGAUGAGGCCUGGUUGCGAAAGCGAAAGACCCCUGGAAGACUACCAGGUUGAUAGGCCGCAACUGCAAGGUGCGAAAUCACCUCAGGUGAGCGGUACUAAUGGUCGAAGGCCUGAUCGU